GACGAACGCUGGCGGCGUGCCUAAUACAUGCAAGUUGAGCGCUGAAGGUUGGUACUUGUACCAACUGGAUGAGCAGCGAACGGGUGAGUAACGCGUGGGGAAUCUGCCUUUGAGCGGGGACAACAUUUGGAAACGAAUGCUAAUACCGCAUAAAAACUUUAAACACAAGUUUUAAGUUUGAAAGAUGCAAUUGCAUCACUCAAAGAUGAUCCCGCGUUGUAUUAGCUAGUUGGUGAGGUAAAGGCUCACCAAGGCGAUGAUACAUAGCCGACCUGAGAGGGUGAUCGGCCACAUUGGGACUGAGACACGGCCCAAACUCCUACGGGAGGCAGCAGUAGGGAAUCUUCGGCAAUGGACGAAAGUCUGACCGAGCAACGCCGCGUGAGUGAAGAAGGUUUUCGGAUCGUAAAACUCUGUUGGUAGAGAAGAACGUUGGUGAGAGUGGAAAGCUCAUCAAGUGACGGUAACUACCCAGAAAGGGACGGCUAACUACGU
rnacentral:rRNA from 1 species